GCAGUGGGUGGCCACUGCGCCACCUCCUCUCUGAGGAGGCUGGCCUACAGGGCCCUGUGUGCUUCAAGCAAGCAGACCCUCUGGCAGAAUCCCCAUGGACAGCUCUGGGUGCGGAAAGGUGGUUUGUCUACUUUUUGGUGCAGCAAGAGGAGACUAUUUACAGACGUCUGGAGCUGCGUCUUCCUCUCAGAGCCACUCCAGGCCACAGCACCCAGGAGACUGGCAUGCCCUGCAGCUGUGAGAAGGACGAGGGACCCUGCAGAGCCCCAGCAGCCCACACUUAUCUUCCUGGAUGCCCCUCCAUGCCCUGCCUUUCAACAUCAAGCACUGAGCGCACCCUCCCCCCCCCCCCAGACCCCCCCCCCCCCAGAAGGAAUUAGCACAGCUGCAGCAUGCCAUCAGCAGGACUCUGGGAUCCCCAACACAAAGCUGGCCUUGGCCUGCCAUCCUCCAGUCCUGCUUGGACAUAGGGAAGCACCUGUGGCCAGUGCAGUGUGGCAGUGCUGUGCUGAGCGGGCACCGCACCUGCUGGGGUGUGUCUCCUCACCCCAAAUACUUCCCGGUGCUGACCCGCUACCCAGACUCCAGCAUGACACUGGGGCCCUUCACCUGAAUUCCAACUUGGACCAUGUGUCAAGCUCCGUAUGUUGUUUCCGAGCAUCUGUCUCUCAAGAGGUCUCCUUCCAGUAAGAACAGGCAGACACAGUUCCUUCAGAGUUAAAUCUCAAUAUUCCUUAAGUAGUGAAUGGGUUGGCACCAGUCUUGGCUGCUAGAAAACUCCAUUUAGCAUAUAAAUUUCUUAAAGGUGUGUUGACAGUAUUGCGUUACUGACAGCCGGUUCAAGACCGCGGCUGUUUCAUUACCGAAGUUUGCACAGGCGAAGCUGGGUCUUGAUAAUGGGGCUGGAGCAUGCACCCACUUUCAUCCUGCCCACAGCCAAGGAUCUGAGGGCGGGGGUUGCACACACCAGGCCUGCCACUUACCAGGUUGUACUGAAGUUCACAGCAAUAUAACAGUUAAUGAACUUUGAGUUUAAAUUGUGUACAUUUUUCAAUUGUAAGAUUUUUACUGUAUAUUGAUGCAUAGUGUGAUUCAAUAAAUUGCUUGUAAUUUAAAAAC
rnacentral:lncRNA from 1 species